UACAGAGGGUGCGAGCGUUGUCCGGAAUUACUGGGCGUAAAGGGCGCGCAGGCGGCGGUGCUGGCCCGGCGUGAAAGCCCCCGGCUCAACCGGGGAGGGUCGUCGGGGACCGCACCGCUUGAGGGCGGUAGGGGCUGGUGGAAUGCCUGGUGUAGUGGUGAAAUGCGUAGAGAUCAGGCGGAACACCCGUGGCGAAGGCGGCCAGCUGGGCCGACCCUGACGCUGAGGCGCGAAGGCGUGGGGAGCGAACGGG
rnacentral:rRNA from 1 species